AUCCAACCGACGAGUCCUAAAUAGGACGAAACACGCGUCCUGGAU
rnacentral:hammerhead_ribozyme from 1 species